CCUACGGGAGGCAGCAGUGGGGAAUAUUGCACAAUGGGGGAAACCCUGAUGCAGCGACGCCGCGUGAGUGAAGAAGUAUUUCGGUAUGUAAAGCUCUAUCAGCAGGGAAGAAAAAAGACGGUACCUGACUAAGAAGCCCCGGCUAACUACGUGGCAGCAGCCGCGGCAAUACGUAGGGGGCAAGCGUUAUCCGGAUUUACUGGGUGUAAAGGGAGCGUAGACGGUUUGGCAAGUCUGAAGUGAAAGCCCAGGGCUUAACCCUGGGACUGCUUUGGAUACUGUUAGACUAGAGUGCGGGAGAGGUAAGUGGAAGUCCUAGUGUAGCGGUGAAAUGCGUAGAUAUUAGGAAGAACACCAGUGGCGAAGGCGGCUUACUGGGCAGUAACUGACGUUGAGGCUCGAAAGCGUGGGGAGCAAACAGGAUUAGAUACCCCAGUAGUC
rnacentral:rRNA from 1 species